rnacentral:rRNA from 1 species
AUUGAACGCUGGCGGCAGGCCUAACACAUGCAAGUCGAACGAGUGGCGGACGGGUGAGUAAUGUCUGGGAAACUGCCCGAUGGAGGGGGAUAACUACUGGAAACGGUAGCUAAUACCGCAUACCAUCGGAUGUGCCCAGAUGGGAUUAGCUAGUAGGUGGGGUAACGGCUCACCUAGGCGACGAUCCCUAGCUGGUCUGAGAGGAUGACCAGCCACACUGGAAAGGAGACACGGUCCAGAAUCCUACGGGAGGCAGCAGUGGGGAAUAUUGCACAAUGGGAGCAAGUCUGAUACAGCCAUGCCGCGUGUAUGAAGAAGGCCUUCGGGUUGUAAAGUACUUUCAGCGGGGGGGCGUUACUCGCAGAAGAAGCACCGGCUAACACCGUGCCAGCAGCCGCGGUAAUUC